GUUUCGCGCGGUCGUUAAUCGCGCGUUAAGCGACCCUGUAAAUCAGAUACGCAUCGGACCGUGCUGGUCCGUUGUUCACCUAACAUUACCCACCACUCGUCCCGAUAAAUUUCAACGAUGGGUUAAUUACAUCGGCCAGCAUUUAGCCGCGUUGUUAGGAUCGGUCGGAGAAAUUUUUUCCUCUCCUAAUUUCCCUGUCAAACGAAUCCGCCCAAUAUUCAAUUUCCGACAAGUUCGUUUCUAGUCGGUUUGAAAGUCCAUUCGAUGUAACGCGACGACGCUCGAGUAGAAAAGCUGCGUUUCAACGGAACAAUCGUUAAUUGGAUAAGCCGGAAUUGCUCGAGAGAGCUCUCGAUGGUAGCCGAAGCAUAAAGCGGCUGGAUUUUUGCAACGAUAUCGUUUGCAAACACGUAGCUCGACGCUGACCAAGAUUACCUACCCCCGUUGAUUUGGUUCGAGGGUGACUUUCCAAGGAUCGUUGGCACGACGGACGAGUCGGAAAGUGAAUCAAUAGAGGUUGAUUGGCCUGUGCUCCGACUUUCUCCCCGGUCCACGGGGUUGCUCGAUUACAUGCUCCAUACGGUGUAACUACAGGCCACAAUCACACCGGUCGAUGAAAAUUGAUAGACAAGAACACAGCCGUUGAAUUCACGCGAACCGAAAAUAAUUCAAACAUCGAGCAAUGAUUUCAGAGCUGUUCUAUAAUCGAGAACCGUGAUUUAAUUGACGCCGGUCGCUUUUAUCGAAAAAUCUACCUUCCCCGUUCGAACGAGUGAUUUUUGAUCAAUUUAAAAGACGAGCAAGAUGGAAAGAGAAUAAUACUCGGAAGACAAUGUGAAAAAUUCUUCAGCAGAGAAGCUGCCCCGUGCCGGAAACCUUUCAUUACCGACAAUUCAGACAAUUCGUCGCUGACAGGUCGGAUUUGCGACUAGAAUCGCUAAUUCCUAGCGUUAACGUACACUUCGGUAACGUAAUUGAAUUUUCCUAUUAUCAUGCGUCGCGUAACGCAUUCCGAUUCAGAUGACCCAAAAAUUUCUAUCAUUCUGCCUCGCGUUAAAGCCAACACGCCCGAUGCGAUACACUUCCUGACCCAGAUUCGCUAAUUUCACACCGUAAGCUUAAAUUCCGAGGAAAAUUUCGAAAUUUCAUUCCAAUCAUUCGGACGUUUAUCGAAGAAUUCAAUUAACUCGAUAUGCUAAUAAAUUUUAAUAAAUCCUCGCCUUACGAUUGAAAUAAAAUCAAAUUCAAUAUUUUCCUCGAAAAAUGAAAAAUUUUCCCAUAAGUAGUCGACUGGUUUUU